rnacentral:tRNA from 1 species
AACCUCGUAGCUCGGCUGAUAGAGCAUGCGCUUACAAAGCAUAGGUGGCUUCCAUGCGUGGUUUCGAAUCCCACCGAGGUUA